rnacentral:rRNA from 1 species
ACACAUGCAAGUCGAGCGGUAGCACAGAGAGCUUGCUCUCGGGUGACGAGCGGCGGACGGGUGAGUAAUGUCUGGGAAACUGCCUGAUGGAGGGGGAUAACUACUGGAAACGGUAGCUAAUACCGCAUAAUGUCGCAAGACCAAAGUGGGGGACCUUCGGGCCUCAUGCCAUCAGAUGUGCCCAGAUGGGAUUAGCUAGUAGGUGGGGUAACGGCUCACCUAGGCGACGAUCCCUAGCUGGUCUGAGAGGAUGACCAGCCACACUGGAACUGAGACACGGUCCAGACUCCUACGGGAGGCAGCAGUGGGGAAUAUUGCACAAUGGGCGCAAGCCUGAUGCAGCCAUGCCGCGUGUGUGAAGAAGGCCUUCGGGUUGUAAAGCACUUUCAGCGGGGAGGAAGGCGAUAAGGUUAAUAACCUUGUCGAUUGACGUUACCCGCAGAAGAAGCACCGGCUAACUCCGUGCCAGCAGCCGCGGUAAUACGGAGGGUGCAAGCGUUAAUCGGAAUUACUGGGCGUAAAGCGCACGCAGGCGGUCUGUCAAGUCGGAUGUGAAAUCCCCGGGCUCAACCUGGGAACUGCAUUCGAAACUGGCAGGCUAGAGUCUUGUAGAGGGGGGUAGAAUUCCAGGUGUAGCGGUGAAAUGCGUAGAGAUCUGGAGGAAUACCGGUGGCGAAGGCGGCCCCCUGGACAAAGACUGACGCUCAGGUGCGAAAGCGUGGGGAGCAAACAGGAUUAGAUACCCUGGUAGUCCACGCCGUAAACGAUGUCGAUUUGGAGGUUGUGCCCUUGAGGCGUGGCUUCCGGAGCUAACGACGUUAAAUCGACCGCCUGGGGAGUACGGCCGCAAGGUUAAAACUCAAAUGAAUUGACGGGGGCCCGCACAAGCGGUGGAGCAUGUGGUUUAAUUCGAUGCCAACGCGAAGAACCUUACCUGGUUCUUGAACAUCCACAGGAACUUU